GGGGUCGUGAGCUAACCUGGCAUGCUGCCAGCUUCGGGAGCUGGUUGUCUGGGUUCAAAUCCCGGCGACCCCA
rnacentral:tRNA from 1 species